rnacentral:tRNA from 2 species
GGGCCGUUAGCUCAGUUGGCAGAGCACCUGACUUUUAAUCAGGGUGUCACAGGUUCGAGACCUGUACGGCCUA